rnacentral:rRNA from 1 species
UACGUAGGGUGCAAGCGUUGUCCGGAAUUAUUGGGCGUAAAGAGCUCGUAGGCGGUCUGUCGCGUCGAUCGUGAAAACUUGGGGCUUAACCCUGAGCUUGCGGUCGAUACGGGCAUGACUGGAGUUCGGCAGGGGAGACUGGAAUUCCUGGUGUAGCGGUGAAAUGCGCAGAUAUCAGGAGGAACACCGGUGGCGAAGGCGGGUCUCUGGGCCUACUGACGCUGAGGAGCGAAAGCGUGGGGAGCGAACAGG